rnacentral:rRNA from 1 species
UUUUCGGUUGAUCCCGCCGGAGUUAUCGACCUGCCCGGCAUUUUCGUCGAGCGCGUGAUGCUGACAAAGGAAACCACGGACGGCAAAUCGUACCGCCGACCGGAGCGGCGGCCCUCUGACAAGCCGCGGCUCUAUAACAACAAGCCCGCCGUGACACGUCAGCAAAUUGCCAAGAACGCGGGCAAGCUGGUACGCGAACAUACCUAUGUCAACCUUGGUGUGGGCAUUCCCACCAUGGUCUCGAACUACCUCAAGGGCCGUGAUGUGAUUUUGCACGCGGAGAACGGCGUGCUCGGUUAUGGCGAGAUGGUGAGCAACCCCGAUGACAUCGAUCCGGAUGUCUAUAAUGCCGCAGGCCAGUUCGUCGCCCUGCAGCCCGGCGCGUCAUUCUUUGACAGCGUGACCUCGUUUGAAAUGGCGCGGGGUGGCCAUAUCGAUACCGUGAUUCUUGGCGCCUAUGAAGUGGAUGCCACCGCUAGUGUCGCUAACUGGAGCACGGCGGAUGCUAUCCGCGGCGGCAUCGGUGGCGCGAUGGAUCUGUUGUCGGGCAAGGGCGACCUCAUCCAUCGUGAUGGAGCACACCGACAGGCAG